rnacentral:rRNA from 1 species
GACGAACGCUGGCGGCGUGCUUAACACAUGCGAGUCGAACGGAAAGGCCCUGCUUUUGUGGGGUGCUCGAGUGGCGAACGGGUGAGUAACACGUGAGUAACCUGCCCUUGACUUUGGGAUAACUUCAGGAAACUGGGGCUAAUACCGGAUAGGAGCUCCUGCUGCAUGGUGGGGGUUGGAAAGUUUCGGCGGUUGGGGAUGGACUCGCGGCUUAUCAGCUUGUUGGUGGGGUAGUGGCUUACCAAGGCUUUGACGGGUAGCCGGCCUGAGAGGGUGACCGGCCACAUUGGGACUGAGAUACGGCCCAGACUCCUACGGGAGGCAGCAGUGGGGAAUAUUGCACAAUGGGCGGAAGCCUGAUGCAGCAACGCCGCGUGCGGGAUGACGGCCUUCGGGUUGUAAACCGCUUUCGCCUGUGACGAAGCGUGAGGGACGGUAAUGGGUAAAGAAGCACCGGCUAACUACGU